GAUGAAGAACGUAGCGAAAUGCGAUAAUUAAUGUGAAUUGCAGAAUUUCGUGAAUCAUCGAGUCUUUGAACGCACAUUGCGCCUCAUGGCAUUCCGUGAGGCAUGCCCAUCUCAGCGUUAGAAAAUAUUCUCAAAUUUUAGUUUUGUGCUAAAAUUUGGAUCAUGUCAAGGAAGCUAUUACUAUUAUUGUGAUCGCUCUUUGGAAAUUGAUAGGUCUUUGAGUUGCUACUCAUAGAACGUGAUGAAUCUUUCUUCGUUCUAUUGUAAUUCACUCUGGUAGUCCUAAAAGUUGUAUGCCUGUGGCAUAUCUUGUAAUUUGACCUGAGAUUGGGUAGGGAUACCCGCUGAACUUAAGCAUAUCAAUAAGCGGAGGA
rnacentral:misc_RNA from 1 species